rnacentral:lncRNA from 1 species
AUCACUGUGAUCAUUUUGCGGCCUGGGGAGCAAGGAUCCAUGGUUUUUAUAUGCCUUGUCCGGCUGCUGGAGUUGAUGACAUGGAAACGUCAUCUCUACCAUCUCGAUGGCUUAGACCCAGGGAGCCGGAUGUUCAUCUCAGCCCUCCCCAGCUUCCAUCAAUGGAUUUUUAUAGUCAGGGUUAAAGACUGAGAGGCCCUAUGCAUGUUCACAAAAACACAAUUUUGACAAAUUAUCUCUAUUGUAAAAUUGAGGGAGUAACUCAUUAUUCGAGAGAACUGGUCGUACAUGAAGCAUCAAGAACACACGUGCAAAAAUCUAAUUCUAACUGAAUUUAGCUUUCAGUUGGCAUUUCCUCAAACAAUCAAGUGCACCUAUUAUUAUUUGGCUGACAAAAAUAUGAACACCAAACAUGCCAUCAUCAUUAAGCAAUUCAAGGAUGUCUAUGAAUCGGACAUGAAAUAUUUGGAGCAUGGAAUAAAAAACAGCACACUGUCUUCUGGCGUAGAUGCACAAUAGAUGCACUCCUUCAAAUAGAGAUCAAUUUUCAGCUGAAACGAUAGAUGCACUCUUUCAAAUAUGCAUCAUAGUAGGUCCUACAAAAAUCACGAGAAAUUAGAGGAUGCAACUUGAUGACUGCCUUCUAUAUCAUUUGGAGGACAAAAGAAGCUAGAAAAAUUGUGAUGAACCACCAAUCCCUGUUAAAAGUAACUAUCAUUCCCCUUUGAUAUAUGGAUAUAUCAAUCAAGAGAGAGAGUGGGGGGGUUAUACCAGGAAACACUUUGCAAACAUAAGCUUUUAAACUGGUAGUCAACUUACUGUCAACAUGUAAGGUUGCCUCAUUUCUGAAAAACACAAAUCCACCCUAAAUUUUCACAUGAAUAAAAUGUAGAUUUUCUCUUCUAUCAAGAUAUUACAUGUCUGGUAUCUUCUUGUAGGAACUGCUACCAUCAUUUGCUUCUUCUCACAAAGAAUUCAAUCCAUAGUAUGCCAAGAAGCUAUGAAAAAAAAUUAAUUUCUUCAAAGAAUAAAAUACAUUGCAGAAAUAAAAUACUCUAUCAGAGAGUUGGCAGGCAAGGUAGUAGGGACAAGAAGAGCAAGAACUAACUUUGAGAGGAUAUGGGCAAACUCCUGCAUUGUGCCCUGGCUGACCCCUACGCUUACGCCAUGCCUCCUGUAUCCAUUCCUCAUUCCUCUGUGUUGUGAUAGAAAUUCAGAAUGGCAAAUAAAAGUAUUAUUAGAUUGCAGCCUUAAUUUCUUAUCCUUUAGUAGAUGCACAUUUGAUUCUAUUCUUAGAUUGCAGCCUUAAUUUCUUAUCCUUUAGUAGACGCACAUUUGAUUCUGAAGGAAGAAGACGGGAAAUAUGCAUAUAGCAAGAAAUAGUAAAAAUAUGUUCUUUCGAACUUGCAUGGCUAUUUGUUUUUUCUGUAAACAUGCCAAUCUACUGCCAUCUCACUCGCCUUAAUUUCUUACCUUUUCAUAGAUGCAAAUUUGAUUUUGAGCAAGUAGAGAAGCAAUAUACGAUAGCAUACAUCAAGAAAGAGUAGAAGAAUGUUCUUUUCAGCUGAUGUACACUAUAGAUGCAAAUUAUAUAUAUACGACUAUAAUUUUUUUCCUGUAAAUACACUGAUGUACUACCAUCUCAUUACAAAUUAUGUAUCGUGCCAAGGAAAAAUCAUUUUACUUUUCAGCAUAUAUAUACGAUCAUACGGUAGUCACACAUAUAAGCAGCACCACAAAAACAAACACACAAACAUGACACCUGGAAAAAUCAGGAACGGAGGAAUUAGCAUGACAAUAAGAAGUAAACAAAUAGGGUAGAAAAGUGCAGUGCUUAGAAAAGAAUGACAAGGAGAAACAUUGACCAAAGGAACAGAGAAGGAGCAACCUUAGCGAUUCUAGAGCCUGCAAAAUAGAAGGAAAGGAAGGUUAGCCAAACAAGCCAGUCUGUUCAAUACCUAACACAACAACAAAUCAAAGACAACCUAGCUUUACAUGGCAGAAAUUUCAAGAGAAAAAAUAUAUAAUAUGAUAUCUAACUGUGCGAAUACAUUAGGAAAUACCACUUCCAAAUUAGAGCGCACCAUUCCCCAAAACUCAAGGACUCAAUAUUCAAAAACUACACAUCAUGAUAGUUAGUUGUUCUACAGCAGCAAGCUAAAUAACACCUAGGUUGUGUAUUAUCUCAUCACACAAAGAAUGUAAAUCAUCACUCCAUAAGAUCAAGAUUUACUAUUUAUUCUACUUCUGCCCCCAACGCAUGAAAAUGCAGCUCCAUUUGGAAUCUGCUCUCCAGUCAAGUAUUUUGUUAAGCAAAUAGGCACAUAGCAAAAAACCAAACCAGAUUCCCGCCUCCAUAUAUGCUUCACGUAUAGUUGUUUACCAAUUCUAGUUCUGCUUGAAACAUCAAGCAUAAUUGGCUACUGAUUCAUUUAUAAAAUAGAAGUGCACCAAAAAAUAACUAUUUGAAAUUACAAAUAGGGAUAGGCCAAUAGAUGACCUCUUAAUUCCAUAGGAAUCACAAAAUCCCAAAAAACGGUACAAUUAUCAUUUUAUAAAUGUUCGCACCUUAAAGUUAACAAUCUUCUCAAAUUAGCAUACAGGGCUAACAUAAACUUAAGCAAGACUGUCCAAAUGAUCAUGGUACAUGGUGGAUUUAUCAUAAUUAAUAUUUGGCUGGAAGUGGGCUACGUUCUACAGAUAUUCUGAAGCUCAUUUUCAGUAGUCAGAUAAAUCGACCUGCUACAGCGCCUCUAGCCGCCCACCAACACCCACGAUAGGCCACCAUGGACGACGUGCACCUGAUUCCACCAGGAAGCCAAUCCUAUACCAUCGCUAGUGUGCGCGCGCCUAAAGUGCACAGUGAGGCAGAUCUUCCCUUCGUGGUAUAUCUGCAUCAAUAUCCCAACCACAACAAGAAUCACUGCCAAGAAUGAUUAUCACCCGACAACACUAUUUUUUUAACAAGUUUCAUGGUGGCAAUUCAUAGAACAGUCCAACAUAAAUAAAGAAGCUGCAACCAUAGUGUGAGAAUUGGAAGGGAAUACUGAAGCGAACAUGGGCGCAAAGAAAUACACAACUGAACUGGAGACAAUGAAAGUAGACCACUCCAAAACAUUAAGAAACCUAUAGUCGUUAAUGUGGAAACUAAAUCUCAUUGAGGUGGAGAUGACUCAUAAC